rnacentral:rRNA from 1 species
UACGUAGGGGGCUAGCGUUGUCCGGAAUCAUUGGGCGUAAAGAGCGUGUAGGCGGCUCGGUAAGUCCGCUGUGAAAGUCGGGGGCUCAACCCUCGAAUGCCGGUGGAUACUGUCGGGCUAGAGUGCGGAAGAGGCGAGUGGAAUUCCUGGUGUAGCGGUGAAAUGCGCAGAUAUCAGGAGGAACACCAAUUGCGAAGGCAGCUCGCUGGGACGUAACUGACGCUGAGACGCGAAGGCGUGGGGAGCGAACGGG